AGUGAACGCUGGCGGUAGGCCUAACACAUGCAAGUCGAACGGCAGCACAGUAAGAGCUUGCUCUUACGGGUGGCGAGUGGCGGACGGGUGAGGAAUACAUCGGAAUCUACUUUUUCGUGGGGGAUAACGUGGGGAAACUUACGCUAAUACCGCAUACGACCUACGGGGGAAAGAAGGGGAUCUUCGGACCUUGCGCGUUUGAAUGAGCCGAUGUCGGAUUAGCUAGUUGGCGGGGUAAAGGCCCACCAAGGCGACGAUCCGUAGCUGGUCUGAGAGGAUGAUCAGCCACACUGGAACUGAGACACGGUCCAGACUCCUACGGGAGGCAGCAGUGGGGAAUAUUGGACAAUGGGCGCAAGCCUGAUCCAGCCAUACCGCGUGGGUGAAGAAGGCCUUCGGGUUGUAAAGCCCUUUUGUUGGGAAAGAAAAGCAGCAGGUUAAUACCCCGCUGUUCUGACGGUACCCAAAGAAUAAGCACCGGCUAACUUCGUG
rnacentral:rRNA from 1 species